GACGAACCGUCCAAACGUUGUUCGGAAUCACUGGGCUUAAAGGGCGCGUAGGCGGGCUGCCAAGUCCGGGGUGAAAUCCUCCCGCUUAACGGGAGAACUGCCUCGGAUACUGGAAGUCUCGAGGAGGGUAGGGGCACGCGGAACUGUGGGUGGAGCGGUGAAAUGCGUUGAUAUCCAUAGGAACACCGGUGGCGAAGGCGGCAUCCUGGACCGGCAUUGACGCUGAGGCGCGAAAGCCAGGGGAGCAAACGGG
rnacentral:rRNA from 1 species